rnacentral:rRNA from 1 species
GACGAACUGUCCUAACGUUGUUCGGAAUCACUGGGCUUAAAGGGUGCGUAGGCGGGUCUUUAAGUCAGGGGUGAAAUCCUGGAGCUCAACUCCAGAACUGCCUUUGAUACUGAAGAUCUUGAGUUCGGGAGAGGUGAGUGGAACUGCGAGUGUAGAGGUGAAAUUCGUAGAUAUUCGCAAGAACACCAGUGGCGAAGGCGGCUCACUGGCCCGAUACUGACGCUGAGGCACGAAAGCGUGGGGAGCAAACAGG